rnacentral:tRNA from 1 species
GGAUGUGGCUCAGUGGUAGGGCAUUUGCCUAGCACGCACAAGGUCCUGGGUUCUAGUCCCAGCACCA